UCGGGCCUACGGGGGGCAGCAGUGGGGGAUAUUGCACAAUGGGGGAAACCCUGAUGCAGCGACGCCGCGUGAGCGAUGAAGUAUUUCGGUAUGUAAAGCUCUAUCAGCAGGGAACAAAAUGACGGUACCUGACUAAGAAGCCCCGGCUAACUACGUGCCAGCAGCCGCGGUAAUACGUAGGAGGCAAGCGUUAUCCGGAUUUACUGGGUGUAAAGGGAGCGUAGACGGCAGUGCAAGUCUGAAGUGAAAGGCAAGGGCUCAACCUUUGGACUGCUUUGGAAACUGUGCUGCUAGAGCGUCGGAGG
rnacentral:rRNA from 1 species